rnacentral:rRNA from 1 species
UACGUAGGGUGCGAGCGUUAAUCGGAAUUACUGGGCGUAAAGCGUGCGCAGGCGGUUUUGUAAGCCAGAUGUGAAAUCCCCGGGCUUAAACUGGGAAUGGCAUUUGGGACUGCAAGGCUGGAGUUUGGCAGAGGAGACUGGAAUUCCUGGUGUAGCAGUGAAAUGCGUAGAUAUCAGGAGGAACACCGAUGGCGAAGGCAGGUCUCUGGGCUGAAACUGACGCUCAUGCACGAAAGCGUGGGGAGCAAACAGG